rnacentral:rRNA from 1 species
UACGAAGGGUGCAAGCGUUACUCGGAAUUACUGGGCGUAAAGCGUGCGUAGGCGGCUUGUCGCGUCGUCCGUGAAAACCCGGGGCUCAACUCCGGGCUUGCGGGCGAUACGGGCAGGCUAGAGUUCGGUAGGGGAGACUGGAAUUCCUGGUGUAGCGGUGAAAUGCGUUGAGAUCGGGCAGAACACCAGUGGCGAAGGCGGCCGGCUGGGCCGACCCUGACGCUGAGGCGCGAAAGCCAGGGGAGCGAACGGA